rnacentral:rRNA from 1 species
GAUGAACGCUGGCGGCGUGCCUAAUACAUGCAAGUCGAGCGAACAGACGAGGAGCUUGCUCCUCUGACGUUAGCGGCGGACGGGUGAGUAACACGUGGAUAACCUACCUAUAAGACUGGGAUAACUUCGGGAAACCGGAGCUAAUACCGGAUAAUAUAUUGAACCGCAUGGUUCAAUAGUGAAAGACGGUUUUGCUGUCACUUAUAGAUGGAUCCGCGCCGCAUUAGCUAGUUGGUAAGGUAACGGCUUACCAAGGCAACGAUGCGUAGCCGACCUGAGAGGGUGAUCGGCCACACUGGAACUGAGACACGGUCCAGACUCCUACGGGAGGCAGCAGUAGGGAAUCUUCCGCAGUGGGCGAAAGCCUGACGGAGCAACGCCGCGUGAGUGAUGAAGGUCUUCGGAUCGUAAAACUCUGUUAUUAGGGAAGAACAAAUGUGUAAGUAACUAUGCACGUCUGGACGGUACCUAAACAGAAAGCCACGGCUAACUACGU